GAUGAACGCUGGCGGCGUGCUUAACACAUGCAAGUCGAACGAGAAGUGAAGACGGAAACCUUCGGGCGGAAGGCUUUAUUUCGAGUGGCGGACGGGUGAGUAACGCGUGGGUAACCUGCCUCAUACAGGGGGAUAACAGUUGGAAACGACUGUUAAUACCGCAUAAGACCACAGCACCGCAUGGUGCGGGGGUAAAAACUCCGGUGGUAUGAGAUGGACCCGCGUUCGAUUAGCCAGUUGGCGGGGUAACGGCCCACCAAAGCGACGAUCGAUAGCCGAUCUGAGAGGAUGACCGGCCACAUUGGGACUGAGACACGGCCCAAACUCCUACGGGAAGCAGCAGUGGGGGAUAUUGCACAAUGGGGGAAACCCUGAUGCAGCGACGCCGCGUGAGUGAAGAAGUAUUUCGGUAUGUAAAGCUCUAUCAGCAGGGAAGAAAAUGACGGUACCUGAGUAAGAAGCCCCGGCUAACUACGUG
rnacentral:rRNA from 1 species